rnacentral:rRNA from 1 species
UGGGGAAUUUUGCACAAUGGGGGAAACCCUGAUGCAGCGACGCCGCGUGAUUUAGAAGGCCUUCGGGUUGUAAAAAUCUUUUCUAUGGGAAGAAAAUGACAGUACCAUAGGAAUAAGGACCGGCUAAUCACGUGCCAGCAGCCGCGGUAAUACGUAAGGUCCGAGCGUUGUCCGGAAUCAUUGGGCGUAAAGGGUACGUAGGCGGGUAAGCAAGUUAGAAGUGAAAUCCUAUAGCUCAACCAUAGUAAGCUGUUAAAACUGCUCAUCUUGAGGUAUGGAAGGGAAAGUGGAAUUCCUAGUGUAGCGGUGAAAUGCGCAGAUAUUAGGAGGAAUACCGGUGGCGAAGGCGACUUUCUGGUCAUAACCAGACGCUAAGGUACGAAAGCGUGGGUAGCAAACAGG